AUGUAAGAUAAGAUAUUUAUGACCUUUUACACAAUCUCAGUCGUGGUCUGAUUAUAUCACCGCGUCUGUUUAUAUGCAAUACAAAAGAACCUGGUCCAUCGACUCAGGUUCUUUUUUUU
rnacentral:sRNA from 15 species